UGGAAAACUUAAAUGCAGAAAUGGACCCAGGGGGUCGGCGCCAUGCAUCAUGGCGCCGAGGUUUCACGUCUCGGCGCCAUGGAUCACGGCGCCGAGGUCCUGGACUGCCUUCUCACGUGGAUCUGACGUGGCAGGGAGCUCGGCGCCACAGAUCACGGCGCCGAGCUUCCUGCUACAAACCAGCCGACGCACUUCGCUACCCGUGGACACCGUUCAUAUUUUCAUCUCCCCUCUCGGCUCUUUCUCUCCAAAAACCGAGCACGAAUUUGGAUUCAAUAUUUGGACCAUCAAAAGUUUGAUUUGUUCCAUAGAUUUUGAAGAGCCAGGUAUACUCUUUCACAUAUUAGUUUUUGACUCAUUGAUUUGACCUAUAUUACACGUAUGUUGUAGACUUAGAUAAACCAUUUAUAGUUUUUUGAAUGGAUGAUUAAUAUUUUUCUUAUGCAAUCGUAGAAUGCCACGUCGUGGAAAAAGUAGCAAACCAAGCUAUGGCCGGACGACCGGUAGUCCGUACAUCCACAAGCCGCUUCCUAGCGGUGUUCCAGUACCUAUGUGCUUUUGUGGUGAUCCUUGCAAGGUAGAAAUUUCGGAAGACGAGGAAACCUAUCGGCAGAGGUAUUGGAUGUGUUCGAAUUUUGCCUGGGAGCCUACGCCAAAACAACGCCGCAGUAACUUUAUUACCCCUCCACCAUUGUGUGAUUUUGAGCAGUGGAUCGACACUGAGGUUAAGGAGUCCGACAAGCGGCUUCUACAAGGCCUAAAG